AUGGCUCCAGUACCGUCUUCUCCGCAUCGCGCAAAGAUCUCAACCGAACUACCAACAUUGCCGACUUGACUGGGACCUGCUGGGACCUACCGUGGCCCCCCGAGGUCGGACUCCCAUGCUCCCUAUAUAGGUCGCCCGAAUCGCUGCCAGGUCCUUCAACCAUCCCGGCCAAUCUCGCCAUCGCCGAGCCCGCACUGAGGGUGAGGUGGGCCGCCGCUGACAAACUCCGUCGGUCCUGUCGAUUUGGCCCCGGUAACUGGUCGGGGAAAUCCGUGGGGCAUAUCAAAGGUGUCCGGUGGCGGGCUUGGGCUCGUGCUAGUCUGGGUCGACGACAAUUGCUCGACAGAGCCACCUUCGGUCACGAUUCCGCCGCACGGCGUGGGCCGGAAUCUCCGCGACAGGAUUCACGGUCAAGAAUAGGUAUCACAGGAUGAGGUGCAUGGAGGAUGCUGUGAUGAGUUCGUGAGAGGUCUAGGCCAUCAUCGCCCAGUCAACUUUGGAUUGCUGGAUCAUUGUCUUCAUAUGAUGUAAUUAUAUAACUAUUUUUGUACAUGACCCUGUUAUAUAUAAAUGAUGUGACAUUUGUUUC